UUUUCGUCGAUUUUAGGCUGGAGUUUUAACGGAGAAUCGGCAAACAAAGGAAGUUUUAGAAAUUCGUGGUCCAAGAGAUCAGUUGCCGAGUACCGAGAAUGCUCAAUUGGAGUCUGGCGGGAGCACGUUAGGAAUUUCGGGAGGAUUUUGAACACAGCUUCCAUUGAUUACGCUAAGUAGAAUUACACCAAAUCGAUUUUGCGUUCAACGCCAUAAUCAGUUAUUCUGACACAACCUGCAAUUCAAAUUAAACAUCAAUAACCAACAAUGUUUAUACUUACUCUACGAACUAAUGCAAAAAAUGAGGAAUUUACCCGAGCUGUC